rnacentral:rRNA from 1 species
AUGGUUCAAACUGCUCAUAAGAGGAAGCUGCCCAUUAUUGCUUUAAAGUUGGAUUUCCAGAAGGCCUUCGACAGUGUUAGUUGGCACUAUCUGUCGCAGGUUCUGGAGGCAAGGGGCUUUCCAUCUAUAUGGAAUCUAUGGAUCUCUUCAUUUCUCUCUUCAGGCAGUUCUAGGGUGCUCAUCAAUGGGGAGUUUGGUGAUCCCAUCCUUGCCAAGAGAGGUUUUCGCCAGGGAGAUUCCUUAUCACCAUAUCCUUUUAUCUUAGUGGCUGAUGUGUUGCAACGUCUAUGGUGCUUGCACUUCCAGAAUGGCACUCUGAUCCAUCCGCUUGGAGCUGACGAUAUGUUUCCGGUGCUGCAAUACACCGACGAUACUCUUAUCAUCUUCUGGGGGGAUGUGCAACAAGCCUGCGUCAUCAAGAACAUUCUUGCAGCCUUCUCGGGUUUCUCUGGUUUGUAG